rnacentral:rRNA from 1 species
GAUGAACGCUGACAGCAUGCUUAACACAUGCAAGUCAACUGUGGCGGACGGGUGAGUAACGCGUAAAGAACUUGCCUCACAGUUAGGGACAACAUUUGGAAACGAAUGCUAAUACCUGAUACUGUGAGAGAGCUUUGCGUCCCAUUAGCUAGUUGGAGAGGUAACGGCCAACCAAGUCUAGGAUGGGUAGCCAGCCUGAGAGGGUGAACGGCCACAAGGGGACUGAGACACGACCCUUACUCCUGCUGGAGGCAGGAGUGGGGAAUAGUGGACAAUGGACCAAAGUCUGAUCCAGCAAUUCUGUGUGCACGAUGAAGUUUUCGGAAUGUAAAGUGCUUUCAGUUGAGAAGCGGUACCAACAGAGGAAGUGACGGCUAAAUACGUGCCAGCAGCCGCGGUAAUUC